CCUACGGGGGGCAGCAGUGGGGAAUAUUGGACAAUGGGGGGAACCCUGAUCCAGCCAUGCCGCGUGUGUGAAGAAGGCCCUCGGGUUGUAAAGCACUUUCAGUGAGGAAGAACGCCUGGUGGUUAAUACCCAUCAGGAAAGACAUCACUCACAGAAGAAGCACCGGCUAACUCCGUGCCAGCAGCCGCGGUAAUACGGAGGGUGCGAGCGUUAAUCGGAAUUACUGGGCGUAAAGCGCGCGUAGGUGGCUUGAUAAGCUGGUUGUGAAAGCCCCGGGCUCAACCUGGGAACGGCAUCCGGAACUGUCAAGCUAGAGUGCAGGAGAGGAAGGUAGAAUUCCCGGUGUAGCGGUGAAAUGCGUAGAGAUCGGGAGGAAUACCAGUGGCGAAGGCGGCCUUCUGGACUGACACUGACACUGAGGUGCGAAAGCGUGGGUAGCAAACAGGAUUAGAUACCCUUGUAGUC
rnacentral:rRNA from 1 species